ACGGAGGGUGCAAGCGUUAUCCGGAUUCACUGGGUUUAAAGGGUGCGUAGGCGGGCAGUUAAGUCAGUGGUGAAAUCCUAGAGCUUAACUCUAGAACUGCCAUUGAUACUAUCUGUCUUGAAUAUUGUGGAGGUAAGCGGAAUAUGUCAUGUAGCGGUGAAAUGCUUAGAUAUGACAUAGAACACCUAUUGCGAAGGCAGCUUACUACGCAUAUAUUGACGCUGAGGCACGAAAGCGUGGGGAUCAAACAGGAUUAGAUACCCUGGUAGUCCACGCCCUAAACGAUGAUUACUCGACAUUUGUGAUACACUAUAAGUGUCUGAGCGAAAGCAUUAAGUAAUCCACCUGGGAAGUACGACCGCAAGGUUG
rnacentral:rRNA from 1 species